GACGAACGCUGGCGGCGUGCUUAACACAUGCAAGUCGAACGGAAAGGCCCUGCUUUUGUGGGGUGCUCGAGUGGCGAACGGGUGAGUAACACGUGAGUAACCUGCCCUUGACUUUGGGAUAACUUCAGGAAACUGGGGCUAAUACCGGAUAGGAGCUCCUGCUGCAUGGUGGGGGUUGGAAAGUUUCGGCGGUUGGGGAUGGACUCGCGGCUUAUCAGCUUGUUGGUGGGGUAGUGGCUUACCAAGGCUUUGACGGGUAGCCGGCCUGAGAGGGUGACCGGCCACAUUGGGACUGAGAUACGGCCCAGACUGCUACGGGAGGCAGCAGUGGGGAAUAUUGCACAAUGGGCGGAAGCCUGAGGCAGCAACGCCGCGGGCGGGAUGACGGCCUUCGGGUUGUAAACCGCUUUCGCCUGUGACGAAGCGUGAGUGACGGUAAUGGGUAAAGAAGCACCGGCUAACUACGUG
rnacentral:rRNA from 1 species